rnacentral:rRNA from 1 species
GUGCCAGCGCCGUGGUAAUACGGAGGGGGCAAGCGUUGUUCGGAAUCAUUGGGCGUAAAGCGUGUGUAGGCGGUUGGGUAAGUCAGACGUGUAAGCCCAUGGCUCAACCAUGGAAUUGCGUUUGAAACUGUUCAACUUGAGUGCAGGAGAGGAAAGCGGAAUUCCCAGUGUAGCGGUGAAAUGCAUUGAUAUUGGGAAGAACAUCUGUGGCGAAGGCGGCUUUCUGGCCUGUUACUGACGCUGAGACACGAAAGCCAGGGGAGCGAACGGGAUUAGAUACCCUGGUAGUCCACGCCCUAAACGAUGCGAACUGGACGUUGGGUGCAAUUGAGCAUUCAGUGUCGAAGCUAACGCGUUAAGUUCGCCGCCUGGGGAGUACGGUCGCAAGACUGAAACUCAAAUGAAUUGACGG